UGCGGGGUAGAGGGUGUCACAGUAGUGUUAUCUACCAACUUCAAAAUCCAAGUCACUGGGAGAAUGUAAAAAAUCGUAUCAAACUUUGGAGAUCAUGGUAUGGAGUUGUUAGUGACAUCCAUAGUCAAAGUGGAUUUGAUUGGGAUGGUACAAAACACAUGAUUACAGUUGACAAUGAAAAUGCUUGGAAUGAGUAUGUCAAUGUAAGUAAUCUUAUAUUUUCAUUUUUUAAAAGUAAUGUAAAUGUUAGUGUCUGGACUAGGUCUUUAUGAUUUAUUAGAUUGUGGGUUUCAUUUAUAUAGGGUUUGUCAGAUUGAUAAUUGGCCUCUAAUUCUUGGACCUUUCAAAGUUGGAUUUUUUUAUGUUAUAACAAUUCAACGUAUGGUAUUAUGGAGUUUGAGUGUAGUAUAUAAUCUUUGUUCUUUGUUAACUAGUUAGACAGACGCAAAAUAUAGAUGCGUUUCUGGGCUUUUUGAGGUAUACCCUGGGGAAAGUAUUUUUAUUAUUUCGGGUUUUAGUGAUUGAAAUUUUACCGGGUUUAAUUUGUGCUAAAGAGAGAAAGAUCGUUUUGCGCAUCUUUGAGCUGUGAUUUUUUGGGAGGUGCAACUGUGACUGAGUGACAGCAUUGGGAAAAUUCAAGUUCAACUCUAAAUCAUCCUUAUACAGGCGCAUAAAGAAGCAAGACAGUUUCGAUUUAAGGUGAUUGUAAACUGGGAUGAUAUAGUGGACUUGUGUGCCAAAGAUAGAGCCACUGGACAUGGAGCUGAGACUGCUAUGGAUGCUGAUGAGGUCAUGAGCAGAGAGAUAAAUGAAGGGGAAUUAAGUUUAGAGGGUGCUAGUGAUACCAUAUAUUUAGAUGAACCUGGUUUUACUACACAAAGAAGGGGUCAAUCUUCAGCUUCUACUAGUACACAAUCUCAGAGGAGAAAGACAGGAGAAAAAGAUGGAAUAGCUAAUUCGUUGAAAGAAGUGGCUGAAUCUUUAAAGCGACUUGUUCAAGCAUUUGAUAUUACGAUUGAUGAAGAUGCUUUUAUUCAAGAAGUGUUAGCUGAAGCAGCUUUGAUACCAAACCUUAAUCAACACCAAUGGGCCAAAGCUGUUAAAUGGUUAUCUGACACUCCAAAACAGUUAGCUAUUGUGAAAGCUCUUCCAAUUGAGAAAAAGGCAGCUUAUGUUUUAACACAUAUUUCUUGAUGUUUGGAGCUUUUAUGCAUUCCAUGAAUAUUUGGAUUUUAUCAUCAGGCUUUGCUUUUAUGAGGAGGUGAAAAUCUUUGGACUUGAAGUUGUGAUCUUGAUAUCUUCGACAAACUAUCUUUUAUUUUUGUUAUUUUAAUAUAGAC